GAUGAAGAACGUAGCGAAAUGCGAUACGUAAUGUGAAUUGCAGAUCUCUCAGUGAAUCAUCGAAUCUUUGAACGCACAUUGCGCCCCUUGGCAUUCCGGGGGGCAUACCUGUUCGAGCGUCAUUUCAACCGUCAAGCGUAGCUUGGUGUUGGGCGUUCGUCCUCGAGAGGACGCGCCUCAAAGCAAUCGGCAGCAUUGCGGCGGCUUCAAGCGUAGCAGAAAAUCCUCGCUCUGGAGGCCACGGCCCUGCCCGCCGGACAAACGAAGUUUUCUAAUGUUGACCUCGGAUCAGGUAGGGAUACCCGCUGAACUUAAGCAUAUCAAUAAGCGGAGGA
rnacentral:misc_RNA from 1 species